UACGUAGGGACCAAGCGUUGUUCGGAUUUACUGGGCGUAAAGGGCGCGUAGGCGGCUUGACAAGUCACUUGUGAAAUCUCUGGGCUUAACCCAGAACGGCCAAGUGAUACUGUCGAGCUAGAGUGCAGAAGGGGCAAUCGGAAUUCUUGGUGUAGCGGUGAAAUGCGUAGAUAUCAAGAGGAACACCUGAGGUGAAGACGGGUUGCUGGGCUGACACUGACGCUGACAGCGCGAAAGCCAGGGGAGCAAACGGG
rnacentral:rRNA from 1 species